rnacentral:rRNA from 1 species
AUUGAACGCUGGCGGAAUGCUUUACACAUGCAAGUCGAACGGCAGCACGGGGGCAACCCUGGUGGCGAGUGGCGAACGGGUGAGUAAUACAUCGGAACGUGCCCAGUCGUGGGGGAUAACUACGCGAAAGCGUAGCUAAUACCGCAUACGAACUUAGGUUGAAAGCGGGGGACCGCAAGGCCUCGCGCGAUUGGAGCGGCCGAUGGCAGAUUAGGUAGUUGGUGGGGUAAAGGCUAACCCAGCCGACGAUCUGUAGCUGGUCUGAGAGGACGACCAGCCAGACUGGGACUGAGACACGGCCCAUACUCCUACGGGAGGCAGCAGUGGGGAAUUUUGGACAAUGGGCGCAAGCCUGAUCCAGCCAUUCCGCGUGCAGGAGGAAGGCCCUCGGGUUGCAAACUGCUUUUGUACGGAACGAAACGCGCUGAGUUAAUACCUUGGCGUAAUGACGGUACCGUAAGAAUAAGCACCGGCUAACUACGUGCCAGCCGCCGCCGUAACAC